rnacentral:rRNA from 1 species
CAGCAGCCACGGGAAUACGAGGGGGGCAAGCGUUGUUCGGAAUUAUUGGGCGUAAAGGGUGCGUAGGUGGCCCCGCAAGUCUCAUGUGAAAUCCUCAGGCUCAACUUGAAGUCUGCAUGGGAAACUGCUGGGCUGGAGUAUGGGAGAGGUGAGUGGAAUUCCUGGUGUAGCGGUGAAAUGCGUAGAUAUCAGGAGGAACACCAGUGGCGAAGGCGGCUACCUGGCCUAAUACUGACACUGAGGCACGGAAGCGUGGGGAGCAAACAGGAUUAGAUACCCCUGUAGUCCCUGUCUCUUAUAC